GGCAAAACCCAUAAUGGUAGGCUUAAUUUUUAAGGCCUCUAUAUUUCAUCUCUGAAGAAAUGAUCGAGUUCCAUCACAGGCAUGAAAUCCACACACAAUGCUUUGGUGAAAAUUCCAAGUGAGCUCCAGACUGGCAAACACUGAGUUUGGCAGACGAAAGGUUGGGGAGACUGCAACUCUCCUGUGCUUCAGAAUGAUGGCUUGCCAGAGGUAAGACUUACUAGGUGGUAUCUAUGGUAGAAACAGCACAAUCUCAGUCACCCUGGGACCCAAGCCGUGAGAUGCUGUUGCUGACAUUCAGGUGUUUGAUUCAGUAUUGGUCCAGUUCCACAGCAACUCACUGGAGGCCAGAAGUGCCAACUGUGAAUCUAAGAGUUGGAAUCACCAAGACAGAUAUAACACUGAUCUUUAAGGAGUUGAAUGGGACAGUGGUAUGGAAACAGGCUAAACCAUUUCUACACUGCAGAGAGAAACAGUAUGUCAGCAAAUUAAUGGAAUUGACUGAUGAUUUUCCUUAAAAGGAGGUAUCUGGAAAGAUUUCUCGGAUAUCUCCAUUACACACUUGCUUCCUCUGUUAACUGACAAUGCUCUUGGAUCAGACGUUGAACUGUGAACCAGAAAUGAUACUGCUUUGCUCUCUGGCUCUCAAAAAUGCAUACUUUGGAGAUGGACAUUUGA